UGCUAAAAUUUUAAUCAAUUUAUACUAUUAAAAAUUGGCCUGGGUGAUAAAAUAAUUAGGUAGUUAGACGUGGGGUGCUACGUAUAUCUCAUAUUGAUAUAUAGGAUCAAUUUUUUUAACAAUAAAAAUAAAUGAAAUUUUUAGCA
rnacentral:pre_miRNA from 1 species